UACGUAGGGUCCGAGCGUUGUCCGGAAUUAUUGGGCGUAAAGCGCUCGUAGGCGGUCUGUUGCGUCGGGAGUGAAAACUUACAGCUUAACUGUGAGCGUGCUUUCGAUACGGGCAGACUUGAGGCAUUCAGGGGAGAGCGGAAUUCCUGGUGUAGCGGUGAAAUGCGCAGAUAUCAGGAGGAACACCGGUGGCGAAGGCGGUUCUCUGGGAAUGUCCAGACGCUGAGGAGCGAAAGUGUGGGGAGCGAACAGG
rnacentral:rRNA from 1 species